UAAUACGUAGGGUGCGAGCGUUAAUCGGAAUUACUGGGCGUAAAGCGUGCGCAGGCGGCUUUUUAAGCCAGAUGUGAAAUCCCCGGGCUUAACCUGGGAACUGCAUUUGGAACUGGAAGGCUAGAGUGUAGCAGAGGGGGGUAGAAUUCCACGUGUAGCAGUGAAAUGCGUAGAGAUGUGGAGGAAUACCGAUGGCGAAGGCAGCCCCCUGGGCUAACACUGACGCUCAUGCACGAAAGCGUGGGGAGCAAACAGG
rnacentral:rRNA from 1 species